CUUCGCUUUAAUGCGCUUAGAUU
rnacentral:snRNA from 1 species